rnacentral:rRNA from 1 species
UACGGAGGGUGCAAGCGUUACCCGGAAUCACUGGGCGUAAAGGGCGCGUAGGCGGCUCAUGAAGGCUGUGGUGAAAGUCCGGGGCUCAACCUCGGAUCGGCCGUGGCGACUCGUGGGCUGGAGCACUGUAGAGGCGGGUGGAAUUCCGGGUGUAGCGGUGGAAUGCGUAGAGAUCCGGAAGAACACCAGUGGCGAAGGCGGCCCGCUGGGCAGUGGCUGACGCUGAGGCGGCGACAGCGUGGGGGAGCAAACAGGG